GGGAUCCGCAUUGCAGGUGCACCAGAGCGCCCCAGGGCCCGGCCCCGCUUUGUCUGGGAUGCUGUGGGGAGGAGGCCGGCGGAAUCCACAUCGCCUUUCUAAGUGCGCUUUCCCACCCCGUGGAUGUUAGAGACCCUCACUGAUAAGUCUUGGCUUCUCCUGCCGGGGUAACCCUUGGCCUCUGUGGUUCUUUUUCAUUUCUUAUGCUGGCGUCUACAGUUUUUGUGGGCUCAAAGACAUCAUCAGACCCUUGGAAGAUUUUUUUACUUGGGUAGAAGCCAGCCUGCAAUCAAAAAUGUUUUUAAUCCUGCUUUGCAUUUGUCUGGGCCCGUACAAAUAAUAAAGCACUCUUACUGUCAAUGCUUUUUUUAAAAAAAUACUCUUUAAUUAUAAGUGAUUUUUUAUUUAUUCCUUUGACUUUAGUUUCUACAAUAAAUAUUUAAUCAAAAGGAAAAUUACCCUUUCAAUGAAGUCACACAGAGGAGUCCUUUUUUUUUUUUAAGUGCUUUUUAAAAAUGGAAUGAUGUCAGUCAAUUUUU
rnacentral:lncRNA from 1 species